rnacentral:rRNA from 1 species
GGGCCCGCACAAGCGGUGGAGCAUGUGGUUUAAUUCGAUGCAACGCGAAGAACCUUACCAAGACUUGACAUCCAGAGAAUUCGCUAGAGAUAGCUUAGUGCCUUCGGGAACUCUGAGACAGGUGCUGCAUGGCUGUCGUCAGCUCGUGUUGUGAAAUGUUGGGUUAAGUCCCGUAACGAGCGCAACCCUUGUCCUUAGUUGCCAUCAGUUCGGCUGGGAACUCUAAGGAGACUGCCGGUGACAAACCGGAGGAAGGUGGGGACGACGUCAAGUCAUCAUGGCCCUUACGUCUUGGGCUACACACGUGCUACAAUGGUCAGUACAAAGGGUUGCCAAGCCGCGAGGUGGAGCCAAUCCCAUAAAACUGAUCGUAGUCCGGAUUGGAGUCUGCAACUCGACUCCAUGAAGUCGGAAUCGCUAGUAAUCGU